UACGUAGGGGGCAAGCGUUUGUCCGGAAUCAUUGGGCGUAAGGAGCGCGUAGGCGGUCCGGUAAGUCCGCUCUGAAAGUCCGGGGCUCAACCCCGGGAGGCGGGCGGAUACUGUCGGGCUAGAGUCCGGAAGAGGCGAGUGGAAUUCCUGGUGUAGCGGUGAAAUGCGCAGAUAUCAGGAGGAACACCGGUGGCGAAGGCGGGUCUCUGGGCCAAUACUGACGCUGAGGAGCGAAAGCGUGGGGAGCGAACAGG
rnacentral:rRNA from 1 species